GGAUGUGAAGGUGAUCUGGCUGUGAUGUCUGUCAUCCCAUCAAUCGCCAGGGUUGAUUCGGCUGAUCUGGUUGAGUAGGCAGUGUCCCCUUCUCUCACCGCUCCAUGUGCGUCCCUCCCAAAGCUUCAAGCUCUGUUGAAGAGGAUGACCUUCCCCCAUAGAGAAGGACCAUUCUUCAGUCAAGAUUAUACAAGUAGCUUCAAUCCUUUGCUAGAACCUCCAAACAAACUCUCAAAGCAGGGGAUUCUUUUUGGAUGAGCCAGGCAGAGAAGAGCAGUGAGUAUUUUGAACAAAUAAUGCAACCUAUCACAGUUGCUCAAU
rnacentral:snRNA from 1 species